CACGUAGGGUCCGAGCGUUGUCCGGAAUUAUUGGGCGUAAAGGGCUCGUAGGCGGUUUGUUGCGUCGGGAGUGAAAACUUACAGCUUAACUGUGAGCGUGCUUCCGAUACGGGCAGACUUGAGGUAUUCAGGGGAGAACGGAAUUCCUGGUGUAGCGGUGAAAUGCGCAGAUAUCAGGAGGAACACCGGUGGCGAAGGCGGCGUUCUGGACUGCAACUGACACUGAUGAACGAAAGCCAGGGGAGCAAACGGG
rnacentral:rRNA from 1 species